UACGGCUACAUCAUGUUGAAACACCUGUUCCCAUACAGUUACUGAAGUUAAGCAACAUCAAGCCUGGUCAGUAUCUAGAUGGGUGACCGCUUGAGAGUACCAGGUGCUGUAAG